GGGACACGUGGUAUCCUGUCUGAAUAUGGGGGGACCAUCCUCCAAGGCUAAAUACUCCUGACUGACCGAUAGUGAACCAGUACCGUGAGGGAAAGGCGAAAAGAACCCCGGCGAGGGGAGUGAAAAAGAACCUGAAACCGUGUACGUACAAGCAGUGGGAGCACGCUUAGGCGUGUGACUGCGUACCUUUUGUAUAAUGGGUCAGCGACUUAUAUUCUGUAGCAAGGUUAACCGAAUAGGGGAGCCGAAGGGAAACCGAGUCUUAACUGGGCGUUAAGUUGCAGGGUAUAGACCCGAAACCCGGUGAUCUAGCCAUGGGCAGGUUGAAGGUUGGGUAACACUAACUGGAGGACCGAACCGACUAAUGUUGAAAAAUUAGCGGAUGACUUGUGGCUGGGGGUGAAAGGCCAAUCAAACCGGGAGAUAGCUGGUUCUCCCCGAAAGCUAUUUAGGUAGCGCCUCGUGAAUUCAUCUCCGGGGGUAGAGCACUGUUUCGGCAAGGGGGUCAUCCCGACUUACCAACCCGAUGCAAACUGCGAAUACCGGAGAAUGUUAUCACGGGAGACACACGGCGGGUGCUAACGUCCGUCGUGAAGAGGGAAACAACCCAGACCGCCAGCUAAGGUCCCAAAGUCAUGGUUAAGUGGGAAACGAUGUGGGAAGGCCCAGACAGCCAGGAUGUUGGCUUAGAAGCAGCCAUCAUUUAAAGAAAGCGUAAUAGCUCACUGGUCGAGUCGGCCUGCGCGGAAGAUGUAACGGGGCUAAACCAUGCACCGAAGCUGCGGCAGCGACACUAUGUGUUGUUGGGUAGGGGAGCGUUCUGUAAG
rnacentral:rRNA from 1 species